rnacentral:rRNA from 1 species
GGACGAACGCCGGCGGCGUGCCUAAUACAUGCAAGUCGAGCGAGACUCUUCGGAGUCUAGCGGCGGACGGGUGAGUAACACGUGGGCAACCUGCCUGUAAGACUGGGAUAACACCGGGAAACCGGUGCUAAUACCGGAUAAUCCUUUUCCUCUCAUGAGGAAAAGCUGAAAGUCGGUUUCGGCUGNCACUUACAGAUGGGCCCGCGGCGCAUUAGCUAGUUGGUGAGGUAACGGCUCACCAAGGCGNCGAUGCGUAGCCGACCUGAGAGGGUGAUCGGCCACACUGGGACUGAGACACGGCCCAGACUCCUACGGGAGGCAGCAGUAGGGAAUCUUCCACAAUGGACGAAAGUCUGAUGGAGCAACGCCGCGUGAGCGAUGAAGGCCUUCGGGUCGUAAAGCUCUGUUGUUAGGGAAGAACAAGUACCGGAGUAACUGCCGGUACCUGACGGUACCUAACC